rnacentral:ncRNA from 1 species
UGAAAGUUUUAUUCUUGCUUGUUUAUUCACUAUUUCUUUAUAUUAUAUGUAAGUUUUGUUUACUUAAUGUAUCCUAUUUGCAGUAAUUUUAUUUAUUAAUCAAGUGAUUUUGGAAUUAGUAAUUGAUUUAGUUUUGUCUAAUUUCGUGCCAGCAGACGCGGUUACACGAUUUAUACAAGUGAAUAUUAUUGAUUAAUCAGUUAAUUAAAAUUUGAGAAGGGAGUUAUUAUAAAUUUAUAAGGUGAAAUAUUAAAUUUUAAAAAAUCUCUUUUUAUGAAUCUGUGAAACUUAAUUAAUAAACUAGGAUUAGAUACCCUAUUAUUUUAAGUGUUAAUAAUUCUUAUCAGGGUAUUAAUAGUUAAGUUCUUUAAACCCAAAGAAUUUGGCGGUAUUUUAUUCCAUUUAGAGGAACCUAUCCCGUUAUUGAUAAUACACGAUUUAUUUUACUUAAUUUAUUUGUUUGUAUAUCUCCGUUAUCAGAAGAUCUUUUUAGAGUUUUAAUUUUCUAGCUUUUAGAUUUUAAAAUAUUUCAGGUCAAGGUGCAGCUUAUAGUUAAGAGGUGGUGGGUUACAAUAAAUUCUUGUUUAUACGGAUUUUGAUUGUGAAAAGAUUAAUGAAGGUGGAUUUAAUAGUAAUUUGAUUUAUUUAAUUCAAUUGAUAUUGGCUCUGGAGUGUGUACACAUCGCCCGUCACUCUCAUUAUUAGUUAUUAUACUUAAAGGUUGUUAGUUUUAGAAUUAGAUGAGAUAAGUCGUAACAUAGUAGAUGUACUGGAAAGUGUAUCUAGUAAGAU